rnacentral:SRP_RNA from 1 species
GCCUGGCAUUGUGGCGGGUGCCUGUAGUCCCAGCUACUUGGGAGGCAGAUGCAAGAGAAUCUCUUGAGCCCAGGAGUUGGAAGUUGCUGUGAGCUGUGAUGCCACGGCACUCUACCCAGGGUGACAGCUUGAGGCUCUGUUUCAAAAAAUAAUAAAAAUAAAAAUCUUUGUGUGUAUAUAUGCACAUCCAUAUGUGUAUAAAUAAAUAGAAAUACACAUAUAGAAUCUGCAUAUGAUUAUACCAAACUAUUUUUUUUUUUGAGACAGAGCCUCAAGCUGUCCCCCUGGGUAGAGUGCCGUGACAUUACAGCUCACAGCAACCUCCAACUCCUGGGCUCAAGUGAGUCUCCUGCCUCAG